GAUUAACCUUACCUGGCCUUGACAUGUCCGGAAUCCUGCAGAGAUGCGGGAGUGCCUUCGGGAAUCGGAACACAGGUGCUGCAUGGCUGUCGUCAGCUCGUGUCGUGAGACGUUGGGUUAAGUCCCGCAACGAGCGCAACCCUUGUCCUUAGUUGCCAGCGAGUAACGUCGGGAACUCUAAGGAGACUGCCGGUGACAAACCGGAGGAAGGUGGGGAUGACGUCAAGUCCUCAUGGCCCUUACGGCCAGGGCUACACACGUACUACAAUGGUCGGUACAGAGGGUCGCAAAGUCGCGAGGUGGAGCCAAUCCCAGAAAGCCGAUCCCAGUCCGGAUCGAAGUCUGCAACUCGACUUCGUGAAGUCGGAAUCGCUAGUAAUCGCGGAUCAGCAUGCCGCGGUGAAUACGUUCCCGGGUCUUGUACACACCG
rnacentral:rRNA from 1 species